rnacentral:rRNA from 1 species
AUUGAACGCUGGCGGCAGGCCUAACACAUGCAAGUCGAGCGGAGCGGCGGACGGGUGAGUAAUGUAUAGGAAUCUGCCCGGUAGUGGGGGAUAACGUCCGGAAACGGGCGCUAAUACCGCAUACUCUCGGAUCAGCCUAGGUCGGAUUAGCUAGUUGGUGGGGUAAAGGCCUACAAAGGCGACGAUCCGUAACUGGUGUGAGAGGAUGAUCAGCCACACUGGAACUGAGACACGGUCCAGACUCCUACGGGAGUCAGCAGUGGGGAAUAUGGGACAAUGGGCGAAAGCCUGAUCCAGCCAUGCCGCGUGUGUGAAGAAGGUCUUCGGAUUGUAAAGCACUUUAAGUUGGGAGGCGUUACCAACAGAAUAAGCACCGGCUAACUUCGUGCCAGCCGCCGCGGUAAUUC